rnacentral:rRNA from 1 species
AGUGAACGCUGGCGGUAGGCCUAACACAUGCAAGUCGAACGGCAGCACAGUAAGAGCUUGCUCUUACGGGUGGCGAGUGGCGGACGGGUGAGGAAUACAUCGGAAUCUACUUUUUCGUGGGGGAUAACGUAGGUAAACUUACGCUAAUACCGCAUACGACCUACGGUUGAAAGCAGGGGAUCUUCGGACCUUGCGCGAUUGAAUGAGCCGAUGUCGGAUUAGCUAGUUGGCGGGGUAAAGGCCCACCAAGGCGACGAUCCGUAGCUGGUCUGAGAGGAUGGUCAGCCACACUGGAACUGAGACACGGUCCAGACUCCUACGGGAGGCAGCAGUGGGGAAUAUUGGACAAUGGGCGCAAGCCUGAUCCAGCCAUACCGCGUGGGUGAAGAAGGCCUUCGGGUUGUAAAGCCCUUUUGUUGGGAAAGAAAAGCAGCAGGUUAAUACCCCGCUGUUCUGACGGUACCCAAAGAAUAAGCACCGGCUAACUUCGU